rnacentral:rRNA from 1 species
AGUGAACGCUGGCGGUAGGCCUAACACAUGCAAGUCGAACGGCAGCACAGUAAGAGCUUGCUCUUACGGGUGGCGAGUGGCGGACGGGUGAGGAAUACAUCGGAAUCUACUUUUUCGUGGGGGAUAACGUAGGGAAACUUACGCUAAUACCGCAUACGACCUACGGGUGAAAGCAGGGGAUCUUCGGACCUUGCGCGAUUGAAUGAGCCGAUGUCGGAUUAGCUAGUUGGCGGGGUAAAGGCCCACCAAGGCGACGAUCCGUAGCUGGUCUGAGAGGAUGAUCAGCCACACUGGAACUGAGACACGGGCCAGACUCCUACGGGAGGCAGCAGUGGGGAAUAUUGGACAAUGGGCGCAAGCCUGAUCCAGCCCUACCGCGUGGGUGAAGAAGGCCUUCGGGUUGUAAAGCCCUUUUGUUGGGAAAGAAAAGCAGCAGGUUAAUACCCCGCUGUUCUGACGGUACCCAAAGAAUAAGCACCGGCUAACUUCGUG